rnacentral:rRNA from 1 species
AACUCGGUGAUAGCUGGUUCUCCGCGAAAUGCAUUUAGGUGCAGCGUUGCGUGUUCAGUCAUGGAGGUAGAGCACUGAAUGGGCUAGGGGCCCCACAAGGUUACCGACCCCAAUCAAACUCCGAAUGCCAUGACUCCAGAGCGCAGCAGUGAGACCUCGGGGGAUGAGCUUCGAUGGUCGAGAGGGAAACAGCCCAGAUCACCAGCUAAGGCCCCUAAUUCUGUACUAAGUGGUAAACGAUGUGGGAUUGCACAGACAGCCAGGAGGUUGGCUUAGAAGCAGCCACCCUUGAAAGAGUGCGUAAUAGCUCACUGGUCGAGUGAUCCUGCGCGGAUAAUGUAACGGGGCUCAAGUACAGAGCCGAAGCUGUGAAUUCCUAUGUAUGUAGGAGUGGUAGCGGAGCGUCGAUCUUGCAGCGAAGCGGCGGUGGAAACCGUUGUGGAGCGAGGUCGAGUGCGAAUGCAGGCAUGAGUAGCGAAAGAGGGGUGAGAAACCCCUCCGCCGAAUAUCCAAGGGUUCCUGGGGAAGGCUAAUCCUCCCAGGGUGAGUCGGGAGCUAAGACGAGGCCGACAGGCGUAGUCGAUGCACAACUGGUUGAUAUUCCAGUACCACCACAUUAUGCGCCCACGCUAAAGCAACUUUGCUAAGGGGAUGCUGCUAGCCCGUAAAACGGCCGGCAGAGAAACCGACCCAGGUUGUGGCGGCGAGCAAUGCGGGGACGCAGGAAGGUAGAUGAUCCCAGGCGAUGGUUGUCCUGGGGUAAGCGAGUAGGGAGAGGCCCAGGUAAGUCCGGUCCUCACGAUCCUGAGACGCGACGCCGAGCCGAAUCAGGCGAAGUCAUUGAUCCUAUGCUGCCAAGAAAAGCCGCUAGCUAGCACGUGUGGUGCCCGUACCCCAAACCAACACAGGUGGAUAGGUAGAGAAUACCAAGGCGAUUGAGAUAACUCUGGUUAAGGAACUCGGCAAAAUACAUCCGUAACUUCGGGAGAAGGAUGACCCCAUUAGGGUGACGGGACUUGCUCCCUGAGCUCGAAGGGGUGGCACAAACCAGUGGGAAGCGACUGUUUACUAAAAACACAGCAGCGUGCGAAGCCGUAAGGCGCUGUAUACGCUGUGACUCCUGCCCGGUGCUGGAAGGUUACGGGGAAGGGUUAGCCCUUGAGGCGAAGCUCUGAACCUAAGCCCCAGUAAACGGCGGCCGUAACUAUAACGGUCCUAAGGUAGCGAAAUUCCUUGUCGGGUAAGUUCCGACCUGCACGAAUGGAGUAACGACUCCCCAACUGUCUCAACCAGAGACUCAGCGAAAUUGAAGUACGAGUAAAGAUGCUCGUUAGCUGCAGAAGGACGGAAAGACCCCGUGGACCUUUACUAUAGUUUGGUAUUGGUUCUUGGUCUGAGUUGUGUAGGAUAGGUGGGAGACUAGGAAGCAUUGGCGCCAGCUAGUGUGGAGUCGUCCUUGAAAUACCACCCUUCUCAUGCUGGGAAUCUAACUUCGGCCCGUUAUCCGGGUCAGGGACAGUGCCAGAUGGGUAGUUUGACUGGGGCGGUCGCCUCCUAAAUGGUAACGGAGGCG